rnacentral:lncRNA from 1 species
AGAUGAAUAAUAUACAAAGUGAGAUGAUGAAUAAUGAGACAUAAAAGUAAAUUGCAUAAAGUAAAGGCACAAGAGUAAAUUGCAUAAAUUAAAUGUUAUGAGGUUAGAUGUUAUGUGUUAGAUGUUAGACAAUAAAUUCAAGUCAUCACAUUGGGAUCUUCUAUCAACAAGUCAAAGAACUCAAACAUAUGUUACACCAAGGGAUG